CGCUUUCGGGUGUCGCUGAUGGAUGGACCCGCGGUGCAUUAGCUAGUUGGUGAGGUAACGGCUCACCAAGGCCACGAUGCAUAGCCGACCUGAGAGGGUGAUCGGCCACAUUGGGACUGAGACACGGCCCAAACUCCUACGGGAGGCAGCAGUAGGGAAUCUUCGGCAAUGGACGAAAGUCUGACCGAGCAACGCCGCGUGAGUGAAGAAGGUUUUCGGAUCGUAAAACUCUGUUGUUAGAGAAGAACAAGGAUGAGAGUAACUGUUCAUCCCUUGACGGUAUCUAACCAGAAAGCCACGGCUAACUACGUGCCAGCAGCCGCGGUAAUACGUAGGUGGCAAGCGUUGUCCGGAUUUAUUGGGCGUAAAGCGAGCGCAGGCGGUUUCUUAAGUCUGAUGUGAAAGCCCCCGGCUCAACCGGGGAGGGUCAUUGGAAACUGGGAGACUUGAGUGCAGAAGAGGAGAGUGGAAUUCCAUGUGUAGCGGUGAAAUGCGUAGAUAUAUGGAGGAACACCAGUGGCGAAGGCGGCUCUCUGGUCUGUAACUGACGCUGAGGCUCGAAAGCGUGGGGAGCAAACAGGAUUAGAUACCCUGGUAGUCCACGCCGUAAACGAUGAGUGCUAAGUGUUGGAGGGUUUCCGCCCUUCAGUGCUGCAGCUAACGCAUUAAGCACUCCGCCUGGGGAGUACGACCGCAAGGUUGAAACUCAAAGGAAUUGACGGGGGCCCGCACAAGCGGUGGAGCAUGUGGUUUAAUUCGAAGCAACGCGAAGAACCUUACCAGGUCUUGACAUCCUUUGACCACUCUAGAGAUAGAGCUUCCCCUUCGGGGGCAAAGUGACAGGUGGUGCAUGGUUGUCGUCAGCUCGUGUCGUGAGAUGUUGGGUUAAGUCCCGCAACGAGCGCAACCCUUAUUGUUAGUUGCCAUCAUUCAGUUGGGCACUCUAGCAAGACUGCCGGUGACAAACCGGAGGAAGGUGGGGAUGACGUCAAAUCAUCAUGCCCCUUAUGACCUGGGCUACACACGUGCUACAAUGGGAAGUACAACGAGUUGCGAAGUCGCGAGGCUAAGCUAAUCUCUUAAAGCUUCUCUCAGUUCGGAUUGCAGGCUGCAACUCGCCUGCAUGAAGCCGGAAUCGCUAGUAAUCGCGGAUCAGCACGCCGCGGUGAAUACGUUCCCGGGCCUUGUACACACCGCCCGUCACACCACGAGAGUUUGUAACACCCGAAGUCGGUGAGGUAACCUUUUGGAGCCAGCCGCCUAAGGUGGGAUAGAUGAUUGGGGUGAAGUCGUAACAAGGUAGCCGUAUCGGAAGGUGCGGCUG
rnacentral:rRNA from 1 species